rnacentral:rRNA from 1 species
GACAGAGGGUGCAAACGUUUGUUCGGAAUUACUGGGCGUAAAGCGCGUGUAGGCUGCUCAGAAAGUCGGAUGUGAAAGCCCUGGGCUUAACCUAGGAAGUGCAUUCGAAACUUCUGAGCUGGGAGUUCUGGAGAGGAAGGCGGAAUUCUCGGUGUAGAGGUGAAAUUCGUAGAUAUCGAGAGGAACACCGGUGGCGAAGGCGGCCUUCUGGACAGUGACUGACGCUGAGACGCGAAAGCGUGGGGAGCAAACAGG